GACGAACGCUUGCGGCGUGCUUAACACAUGCAAGUCGAACGGAAAGGCCCUGCUUUUGUGGGGUGCUCGAGUGGCGAACGGGUGAGUAACACGUGAGUAACCUGCCCUUGACUUUGGGAUAACUUCAGGAAACUGGGGCUAAUACCGGAUAGGAGCUCCUGCUGCAUGGUGGGGGUUGGAAAGUUUCGGCGGUUGGGGAUGGACUCGCGGCUUAUCAGCUUGUUGGUGGGGUAGUGGCUUACCAAGGCUUUGACGGGUAGCCGGCCUGAGAGGGUGACCGGCCACAUUGGGACUGAGAUACGGCCCAGACUCCUACGGGAGGCAGCAGUGGGGAAUAUUGCACAAUGGGCGGAAGCCUGAUGCAGCAACGCCGCGUGCGGGAUGACGGCCUUCGGGUUGUAAACCGCUUUCGCCUGUGACGAAGCGUGAGUGACGGUAAUGGGUAAAGAAGCACCGGCUAACUACGUGCCAGCAGCCGCGGUGAUACGUAGGGUGCGAGCGUUGUCCGGAUUUAUUGGGCGUAAAGGGCUCGUAGGUGGUUGAUCGCGUCGGAAGUGUAAUCUUGGGGCUUAACCCUGAGCGUGCCUUCGAUACGGGUUGACUUGAGGAAGGUAGGGGAGAAUGGAAUUCCUGGUGGAGCGGUGGAAUGCGCAGAUAUCAGGAGGAACACCAGUGGCGAAGGCGGUUCUCUGGGCCUUUCCUGACGCUGAGGAGCGAAAGCGUGGGGAGCGAACAGGCUUAGAUACCCUGGUAGUCCACGCUGUAAACGGUGGGUACUAGGUGUGGGGUCCAUUCCACGGGUUCCGUGCCGUAGCUAACGCUUUAAGUACCCCGCCUGGGGAGUACGGCCGCAAGGCUAAAACUCAAAGGAAUUGACGGGGCCCCGCACAAGCGGCGGAGCAUGCGGAUUAAUUCGAUGCAACGCGUAGAACCUUACCUGGGUUUGACAUGGAUCGGGAGUGCUCAGAGAUGGGUGUGCCUCUUUUGGGGUCGGUUCACAGGUGGUGCAUGGCUGUCGUCAGCUCGUGUCGUGAGAUGUUGGGUUAAGUCCCGCAACGAGCGCAACCCUUGUUCACUGUUGCCAGCACGUUAUGGUGGGGACUCAGUGGAGACCGCCGGGGUCAACUCGGAGGAAGGUGGGGAUGACGUCAAGUCAUCAUGCCCCUUAUGUCCAGGGCUUCACGCAUGCUACAAUGGCUGGUACAGAGAGUGGCGAGCCUGUGAGGGUGAGCGAAUCUCGGAAAGCCGGUCUCAGUUCGGAUUGGGGUCUGCAACUCGACCUCAUGAAGUCGGAGUCGCUAGUAAUCGCAGAUCAGCAACGCUGCGGUGAAUACGUUCCCGGG
rnacentral:rRNA from 1 species